UGGGUUUUCCAUGGAACCAUGACCUCUGCUUUUAUGGAUUCCCCUGCAGGUCAGCCUGCCCCUAUAAGUAGUGGACAUAAUCAAGCAGAGAUCAUAAUCUUCAGAAGCACGUCCUGAAAAGAAGCCAAAUCUGAUUUUAACAGUUUAGCUCCAACUCUGAAGAGAAGAUGAAAUUCACACACCUGGUCAUGGCAGCUCUUCUUAUCGCAGCCCUGUGCUCACAGACUCUUGGCAGGAAUGCCCACACACCGGAUGCUUGCUGUUUCAGUUAUCAGGAAGAAAAACUUACAAGAAGAAUGUUAGCACGUUAUGAGUUCACCAGAACAGACUGUAGCAGGCCUGGUGUUAUAUUAGUCCUCAGAAGUGGAAAACAAGUCUGUGCCAAUCCUGCAGAUCGUUGGGUUAAGGACAGAAUUCAAUACCUGAAUAACAUUUUUUCAAAGCAUCCUGCUGGCAUCCCGGUCCAAGCUGUCAAUCUUGAUUUAGAGGGAUCUUCCUGAAUAACUGAGACAUCACACAUUGUGCAAAAACUUAGUUUCAGAGUGGCAACUUUGAUACAAGCAAUCUAUAAUUAUUUUCGUUGUACUUCAUUCCAAUAAUUUCCCCCUAAAUGUAAACGUAUACCACAGAUAAACUGCACAUGUUCAGUGAACUCUCAGUCAUUACGUGCUCUUUUUUCUGAUCCUAUCCAACUGACUCGGAAAGGGGAAAGCAAUAUGUUAUAUAUUAGUUCUGUACCUAAAUAAUCAAUACACUGUUGCAUCAAGACAUUCAUUAUUUUUCUUAGUGUGAAUGAAACUGUUAGGUUAAAUCUGAGAUAUCUUUUUUAUAUAUUUUAGACACCUUUAAUGAAUAUCAUUGUCUUUGUAUUGUUUAUUUUUCCUGUGCUUAGCAAGCACAUCAGUAAUACUUGAUUGUACUCUGAAAAAAACAUUAUGAAUGAA